rnacentral:tRNA from 1 species
AAAAUCCCUCGACUUUAAAAAUCGUGAGGGUUCAAGUCCCUCUAUCCCCA